GACGAGGGGUCCUAGCGUUGUCCGGAUUUAUUGGGCGUAAAGAGCGUGUAGGCGGCCAGGUAGGUCUGAUGUGAAAGCCCUGGGCUCAACCUGGGAAUGGCAUUGGAUACUGGCGAUCUAGAGUGCGGUAGAGGGCAGUGGAAUUCCCGGUGUAGCAGUGAAAUGCGUAGAGAUCGGGAGGAACAUCUGUGGCGAAGGCGACUGCCUGGACCAGCACUGACACUGAGGCACGAAAGCGUGGGGAGCAAACAGG
rnacentral:rRNA from 1 species